CUGUAUUAAAAUGCUAACAUUACAUACAAACACCAACUCUACACCCAGAAGCACACCUGCUCCUAAGUACUACAGACGGUUUACUAUGUGUAGAAAUUAGUCUAUAUGCCAAAAUUAAAAUAUACUAAAAUAAACCAACAUUUUACUGUUUGAGCUAUGGCUCCACAAUGUUGGUACCCUAUGUCAAACAGUUCCACGGGAAACAUUAGAUGGAUACCCCUACUAUAGAGGUAUCAUAGAGGAAGGACAUUGGGCCGAUGGUUUGAUUUCCUGCUGUAGAGUGAUGCUUGCUACACGACUCUUGGCCUCUUACUAUAUGUAAGGAGGGUGACUAAAAUAUUUUGUGUGUGUGUUUGUUUGUUUGUGUGUAUGUCUUUGUAUGUAUAUCUUGUGUCCCAUGGAUCAGUUUAGCACCG